CGCCCGACUUCGGGCGCUUUUCGGCCGCCGUUGUCUCCACAUCGAUUCCUUCAUCGUUCUCCUACCUCUGCCGUCAUCUGCCCCUCGAAUUAACUCCUGCCUCUGACCGCCGCCGCCGGCCGUCCGCGCACCAGCCGCUGGCCGCCGUCCUCCCGCCAACCGCCGCCGCCCCAUUUCUCCACUCUUCGGCCACCCCGGCCAGCUCCCAAUUCUCCGCCGUCGCCGCUCGCACGAGAACGCGCCGCCUCCCGUCUUCCUCGUGGUCAGUUGCCGCCGCGCGCUGCACCUUCUCCUCCGCCGGCCGCCGCUGCUCCUUCUCCUCCGCCCGCCACCGUCUGCCGCUCCGCUGCCAGACACUGGGCUGCACCCACGGUUUGCAUCGUCGUACCCGCCGUGCCGUGCAGGCCGACGGCUGCAGUGAAACCAAACAGAGUUUCCUCUGUCAUGGAAAAAAACAACGGCGCUUGCUGGAUCCGUGUGGGCCUCGCAUGCUACUAGUUCAGCUGAAGACUGAAGCUACAAGUGUAAACUUAAGCCGGUGAAAAAUGCAGAAGCCGGGCGUAGAGGAGCCCCUUCUGGCGGCGGGAUCCGAGGAGAAUGCCGUGGCAGGGGAGGCGAAGCAGCUCCUCCGGCUGGCAGGGCCGCUGGUAGCAAGCAGCAUCCUCCAAUGCGCGCUGCAGCUAGUCUCCGUCAUGUUCGUCGGCCAUCUCGGCGAGCUCGCCCUGGCCGGCGCCUCCCUGGCCACAUCCCUCGCCAACGUCACCGGCUUCAGCUUGCUGGUCGGCAUGGCGAGCGCGCUGGACACGCUGUGCGGGCAGGCAUUCGGCGCGCGGCAGUACGACCUGCUGGGCGUGUACAAGCAGCGGGCAAUGCUGGUGCUGGCGCUGGCCUGCGUCCCGAUCGUGCUCCUCUGGGCCAACACGGGCCGGAUCCUCCUGCUGAUGGGCCAGGACGCGGCCAUCGCCGCCGAGGCCGGCGCCUACGCGCGAUGGCUCAUCCCGUCGCUCGUCCCCUACGUGCCCCUCGUCUGCCACGUCCGCUUCCUGCAGACGCAGAGCAUCGUCGUGCCGGUCAUGGCCAGCUCCGCCGUCAUGUCGCUGAGCCACGUCUUGGUCUGCUGGGCACUGGUGCACAAGGCUGGCAUGGGUAGCAGAGGCGCUGCGCUCAGCAACGCGAUUUCUUACACCGUCAAUCUGGUCAUUCUCAGCCUGUAUACCAGGCUGUCUGGCGCUUGCAAGAGGACAUGGACCGGGUUCUCCAUGGAGGCCUUCAAGGACCUGCGCCAGUUCAACCAGCUUGCAUUCCCGUCGGCCAUGAUGGUCUGCUUGGAGUGGUGGUCGUUUGAACUGCUUCUGCUGCUCUCUGGUCUCCUGCCCAAUCCUGAGCUUGAAACCUCAGUAUUGUCGAUAUGUCUUAACACUGGGGCUCUCAUGUUCAUGGUCCCAUCUGGUCUCAGUGCAGCCAUAAGCACACGCGUUUCGAACCUACUUGGAGCGGGCAAACCUCAGGCAGCAAAGCUGGCAACCAGAGUAGUCAUAUGUAUGGCCUUGUCUGAAGGCCUGCUAAUCUCUAUUACCAUGAUUUUGCUACGCAAUUUCUGGGGUUAUAUGUACAGCAAUGAGGAUGAAGUGGUCACAUACAUUGCCCGGAUGAUACCCAUUCUGGCAAUAUCCUUCUUCAUUGAUGGAAUCCAUACUUCUCUUUCAGGUGUCCUGACUGGAUGUGGCGAGCAGAAGAUUGGCGCACGCGUCAAUCUCGCCGGCUACUACUUGGCAGGCAUCCCCUUGGCUGUCGUACUUGCAUUUGUUCUGCAUCUGAAUGGAAUGGUACUAGAAAUUUCUCAGCAGUUUAGUAGAAUGAGCUCAUUCUGUAACUGGCCAGAUAAAUAUCUCUCUUGAUUUUUCUUGCAACAGGGGCUUUGGCUUGGCAUUGUUUGCGGCAGCCUCACCAAACUUAUGUUGCUCGUGUGGAUUGUACAUUCUAUAAACUGGGAGAAGGAGGUAAUUAAGGCAAAGGACAUGGUGCUAAGAUCUUCACUUCCGGUAGCAUGAAGAUACUAUCAUGCAGCACCUAGUGAUAAUAUUUUGUAUGUGGCAUGCUGGAAGCCUGGAACUCCGUUCUCCCAAUGAUCCGAUUUCAGCUAGUAAUAUGUGGGAGUUCAUUUCGCAGAGCCAUUUUUCUGUCGAGAUAGUCAUUUUGAUCACUUUGGCCAUCUGGACGUAAAAAUAACUGCAUUUUCAAGGAGUUAGACCGAUUCUUGUAGGAAUAUCUUCAAGGAGAUCGCCAUGGAUAUCCAUAGGGCAACAAGGAAGAGUUACUCCAGGUUGCAACCAUGGAGCGACAACUUUUUGUAAUUUGUUUUCAUUGUACAUGUCAAAACAAAGCUAAAUAUAUAAAUACAUGUGUGAGGA